rnacentral:pre_miRNA from 11 species
CUUUAUCAGCUAAUGAAAGACCUCUGGAGAGGGGAGACCCUCACUCAAGUCUCGGGAUGAUGCAACCCCCCAAGAACUCACGAGAGACC